rnacentral:tRNA from 1 species
GCUCAGUCAGUAGAGUGCUUGCUUAGUAUGCAAGAAACCCUGAGUUCGAUCCUCAG